AUGAAUAUCGCCCUCCUUUCCCGCUGGCUUUGGCGCAUCUCGCAAGGGCACGACGGGCUGUGGUUAGACAUCAUCCGGAAUAAGUACCUGCGUGGCCAACCAUUGGCUUUCUGUCAAUGGUCUGAUGGAUCCCAAUUUUGGCAGUCAGUCAUUCCGCUACUCCCCGUUCUCCGCAUUGGGACUUCCAUAUUGGUCGGAUCGGGUUCAGCGACCCUGUUCUGGUUUGACCGAUGGGCGGGAGACACCCCCUUCGCGGCUCGGUUCCCCGAUCUCUUCUCCAUCGUUUUCGUCCCGACGAUCUUAGUUGAUGCCCUUAUUGACUUAGGGCGCCUCGCAUUCCGGAGGCCAUUUGAGCCUUCAGAGGCUGCCGCCUGGCAGGAGCUUCUUGAUUGCGCAGCCCUCCAUGAGCCGGAUGUCGAUGCGGGCCCGAAUGAGGUCCGGUGGCGCCUUGAGCCCUCGGGCCAAUUCUCCACCACGUCCCUCUACUCGGCCAUCGCUCCCUCCUCCGCUCCAUCCCCCCUCCAGGCGGUGUGGCCCAUUCGCCUGCCUCUAAAAAUUCGGAUCUUCAUGUGGCAAUGGAUCCGCGGUCGGCUCCCGUCUAGGGUGGAGGUCCGCAAGUGCAAUGGUCCGGGCUCUGGUCUUUGCCCACUCUGUAGUACCCCCGAGGAUUCGAACCACAUGUUCUUCUCCUGCGUGUCUGCUCAAUUCAUCUAG
rnacentral:rRNA from 1 species